CUAGCCGUAAACGAUGAGCACUUGAUCGAGGGCCCCCCCAUAGGCUCCCGGUCGUAGCGAAAGUGUUAAGUGCUCCGCCUGGGGAGUAUGGUCGCAAGGCUGAAACUCAAAGAAAUUGACGGGGGCUCACACAAGCGGUGGAGGAUGUGGCUUAAUUCGAGGCUACGCGAAAAACCUUAUCCUAGUCUUGACAUGCACGGAUCAACCCGGUGAAAGCCGGGCCACGCCUUCGGGUGGAACGUGCACAGGUGCUGCAUGGCUGUACUCAGCACGGGUCUUGAGAUUU
rnacentral:rRNA from 1 species